CCUACGGGCGGCAGCAGUGGGGAAUAUUGGGCAAUGGAGGAAACUCUGACCCAGCAACGCCGCGUGAAUGAGGAAGGUCUUCGGAUUGUAAAGUUCUUUUCUAAGGGAAGAAGAAAGUGACGGUACCUUAGGAAUAAGCCUCGGCGAACUACGUGCCAGCAGCCGCGGUAAUACGUAGGAGGCGAGCGUUAUCCGGAAGGACUGGGCGUAAAGGGUGCGUAGGUGGUUUGGCAAGUUAGUAGCGUAACUCCAAGGCUCAACCUCGGCACUACUACCCAGACUGUUGGACUUGAGUGCAGGAGGGGCAAAUGGAAUUCCUAGUGUAGCGGUGGAAUGCGUAGAUAUUAGGAGGAACACCAGUGGCGAAGGCGAUUUGCUGGACUGUAACUGACACUGAGGCACGAAAGCGUGGGGAGCAAACAGGAUUAGAUACCCUUGUAGUC
rnacentral:rRNA from 1 species